rnacentral:rRNA from 1 species
AGAGUUUGAUCCUGGCUCAGGACGAACGCUGGCGGCGCGCCUAACACAUGCAAGUCGAACGGAGCUUAGAGAGCUUGCUUUUUAAGCUUAGUGGCGAACGGGUGAGUAACGCGUGAGUAACCUGCCCUAGAGUGGGGGACAACAGUUGGAAACGACUGCUAAUACCGCAUAAGCCCACGGUACCGCAUGGUACUGAGGGAAAAGGAUUUAUUCGCUUUAGGAUGGACUCGCGUCCAAUUAGCUAGUUGGUGAGGUAACGGCCCACCAAGGCGACGAUUGGUAGCCGGACUGAGAGGUUGAACGGCCACAUUGGGACUGAGACACGGCCCAGACUCCUACGGGAGGCAGCAGUGGGGGAUAUUGCACAAUGGGGGAAACCCUGAUGCAGCGACGCCGCGUGGAGGAAGAAGGUUUUCGGAUUGUAAACUCCUGUCGUUAGGGACGAUAAUGACGGUACCUAACAAGAAAGCACCGGCUAACUACGUGCCAGCAGCCGCGGUAAAACGUAGGGUGCAAGCGUUGUCCGGAAUUACUGGGUGUAAAGGGAGCGCAGGCGGGAAGACAAGUUGGAAGUGAAAACCAUGGGCUCAACCCAUGAAUUGCUUUCAAAACUGUUUUUCUUGAGUAGUGCAGAGGUAGAUGGAAUUCCCGGUGUAGCGGUGGAAUGCGUAGAUAUCGGGAGGAACACCAGUGGCGAAGGCGGUCUACUGGGCACCAACUGACGCUGAGGCUCGAAAGCAUGGGUAGCAAACAGGAUUAGAUACCCUGGUAGUCCAUGCCGUAAACGAUGAUUACUAGGUGUUGGGGGAUUGACCCCCUCAGUGCCGCAGUUAACACAAUAAGUAAUCCACCUGGGGAGUA